ACUUGACCAUCUUUCACCCAGUCUCCAGCAAUGCAAGAGUGCUGUUCCCUUCCCAUCUGAAGAGGUUUGAAGUGAAAAUGUUUUCCUUCACAAGUGGCCAGGAUGCACUGAAAGGACAGAUUUACUUCCACUGCAGUGUUGUGAUAUGUGAUUCAAACCGGCCAUCAGACAGCCUCUGUAGCAGACGGUGCAUUCCAGGAAAACAGAGGCUUGGUCGCAGUGCUGAAGGGAUGGAUGGUGGUGCUGUGAAGGCAUUUGUG